rnacentral:lncRNA from 1 species
CUACGCCGUGUUCAAUUCAUCUUCCAUAUUGUUCAGGAUUGAGUAGAAAUUACUGUGGAAACUAUGCAGAAGGCACAUUUUUUGUAUAAACUUGUGUCCAGAAAGAGAUCUAACCCAUCUCUCAGAAAAGAUGCAUAUCCCUAAAAAUACUGUGGAAGAAAAGUAUGGAAAUUAUAGACAUCCUCAGAUAACUGAGCUGAGCAUUCCGUUUUGUGCCAGCCACUUGGAAAAAAAAAGGGUUUUGUCCUGCCUUGGAAGGAGGAAAUGCGUGAAAAGGGUUGUGUACUAUGGCAGGAACAAAAAAAGGGAAAAAUACAUAUAAUUCAAUUGAUGAUGUCGAAAUAUUUAGAAUAUUAUUGAAAGUGACAGCAUUUUUUCAGCGAUAAGAGAAGCAGGUGAGCAUAUCCUAAAUAUAUAUAUUGAGAUGUUAUUUCUUUGGAUAUUUCAUCAGGGUAUUGUCAU